rnacentral:rRNA from 1 species
CACGGGGGGAGCAAGCGUUGUUCGGAAUCACUGGGCGUAAAGGGCGUGUAGGCGGUCAAGUAAGUGGAAUGUGAAAGCCCCCGGCUUACCCGGGGAUCUGCAUCCCAAACUGCUUGGCUUGAGUACGGGAGAGGAUAGGGGAAUUCCUGGUGUAGCGGUGAAAUGCGUAGAUAUCAGGAGGAACACCGGUGGCGAAGGCGGCCUAUCUGGCCCGAUACUGACGCUGAGGCGCGAAAGCUAGGGGAGCAAACGGG